UACGUAGGGUGCGAGCGUUGUCCGGAAUUAUUGGGCGUAAAGGGCUCGUAGGCGGUCCAUCGCGUCGGGAGUGAAAAGCUGGGGCUUAACCCCAGUCCUGCUUUCGAUACGGGUGGACUAGAGGUAGGCAGGGGAGAAUGGAAUUCCUGGUGUAGCGGUGAAAUGCGCAGAUAUCAGGAGGAACACCAGUGGCGAAGGCGGCUCACUGGUCCGGUACUGACGCUGAGGUGCGAAAGCGUGGGGAGCAAACAGG
rnacentral:rRNA from 1 species